GACGAACGCUGGCGGCGUGCUUAACACAUGCAAGUCGAACGAUGAACCCGGAGCUUGCUCUGGGGGAUUGUGGGCAAACGGGGGGUUAACACGGGAUAAACCGCCCCGGGACUCUGGGUUAGGGUUUGAAAAGACGGUCUAAUACCGGAUAGGACUUGGGAUGCAAGGAUCGGGGGGGGAAGUUUUUUUCGGUCUGGGAUGGACUCGCGGCCUAUCAGCUUGUUGGUGAGGUAAUGGCUCACCAAGGCGUCGACGGGUAGCCGGCCUGAGAGGGUGACCGGCCACACUGGGACUGAGACACGGCCCAGACUCCUACGGGAGGCAGCAGUGGGGAAUAUUGCACAAUGGGCGAAAGCCUGAUGCAGCAACGCCGCGUGCGGGAUGACGGCCUUCGGGUUGUAAACCGCUUUUAGUAGGGAAGAAGGGCUUCGGCUUGACGGUACCUGCAGAAAAAGGACCGGCUAACUACGUG
rnacentral:rRNA from 1 species